rnacentral:rRNA from 1 species
CGUGCUUAACACAUGCAAGUCGAGCGGUAAGGCCUUUCGGGGUACACGAGCGGCGAACGGGUGAGUAACACGUGGGUGAUCUGCCCUGCACUUCGGGAUAAGCCUGGGAAACUGGGUCUAAUACCGGAUAUGACUUCAGGUUGCAUGACUUGGGGUGGAAAGAUUUAUCGGUGCAGGAUGGGCCCGCGGCCUAUCAGCUUGUUGGUGGGGUAAUGGCCUACCAAGGCGACGACGGGUAGCCGACCUGAGAGGGUGACCGGCCACACUGGGACUGAGACACGGCCCAGACUCCUACGGGAGGCAGCAGUGGGGAAUAUUGCACAAUGGGCGAAAGCCUGAUGCAGCGACGCCGCGUGAGGGAUGACGGCCUUCGGGUUGUAAACCUCUUUCAGCAGGGACGAAGCGCAAGUGACGGUACCUGCAGAAGAAGCACCGGCUAACUACGUGCCAGCAGCCGCGGUAAUACGUAGGGUGCAAGCGUUGUCCGGAAUUACUGGGCGUAAAGAGUUCGUAGGCGGUUUGUCGCGUCGUUUGUGAAAACCAGCAGCUCAACUGCUGGCUUGCAGGCGAUACGGGCAGACUUGAGUACUGCAGGGGAGACUGGAAUUCCUGGUGUAGCGGUGAAAUGCGCAGAUAUCAGGAGGAACACCGGUGGCGAAGGCGGGUCUCUGGGCAGUAACUGACGCUGAGGAACGAAAGCGUGGGUAGCGAACAGGAUUAGAUACCCUGGUAGUCCACGCCGUAAACGGUGGGCGCUAGGUGUG